GGUUGUGGCUCAGUGGUAGUGCUUGCCUAGCACAUGUGAGGUACUGGGUUCAAUCCUCAGCACCA
rnacentral:tRNA from 1 species